CCCUUAGAUGUUCUGGGCCGCACGCGCGCUACACUGAUGCAUUCAACAAGCCUAGCCUUGACCGAGAGGUCCGGGUAAUCUUUGAAACUGCAUCGUGAUGGGGCUAGAUUAUUGCAAUUAUUAAUCUUCAACGAGGAAUGCCUAGUAAGCGUGAUUCAUCAAAUCGCGUUGAUUACGUCCCUGCCCUUUGUACACACCGCCCGUCGCUCCUACCGAUUGGAUGGUCCGGUGAAGCCUCGGGAUUGUGGUUCUUGCCGCUUUAUUGUGGCGUGACCGCGAGAACUUGUCUAAACCUUAUCAUCUAGAGGAAGGUGAAGUCGUAACA
rnacentral:rRNA from 1 species